ACACCUCAACUCCCAUGGCUUGCCAUGGUGAGCUUGGACUCUGGGGGUUUUGCUGGCCUACGGUCGGCUCCUCUCAAAUGAAUUAGCCUGCCAGUGUUUGGUGGCAUCACGGGUGUGAUAAAUAUCUACGCUUGCGAUUGCCCACCAGGUAACCUUCAGCGAUGGGGGUUCACUGGGGCUCAUAGACGUCUUCCCUCGGCGAGGACAAUUCUUUAAC
rnacentral:misc_RNA from 1 species